GAUGAAGAACGUAGUGAAAUGCGAUAAGUAGUGUGAAUUGCAGAAUUCAGUGAAUCAUCGAAUCUUUGAACGCACAUUGCGCCCCUUGGUAUUCCGAGGGGCAUGCCUGUUCGAGCGUCAUUUCAACCCUCAAGCACAGCUUGGUCUUGGGCUUCGCCGCUAACCCGGCGGGUCUUAAAAUCAGUGGCGGUGCCGUCGGGCCCUGAGCGCAGUAAUCUCUCUCGCUAUAGGGUCCCGGCGGAUGCUGGCCAGUAACCCCCAAUUUUCUAUGGUUGACCUCGGAUCAGGUAGGGAUACCCGCUGAACUUAAGCAUAUCAAUAAGCGGAGGA
rnacentral:misc_RNA from 1 species